AGGGCUGUAGUUUAUAUUAACAUCUAAUUUGCAAUUAGAAAAUAUUAAGUUCGCUAUUAAUCUGCCUUA
rnacentral:tRNA from 1 species